AUUGAACGCUGGCGGCAGGCUUAACACAUGCAAGUCGAGCGGGGUGAUGGUGCUUGCACUAUCACUUAGCGGCGGACGGGUGAGUAAUGCUUAGGAAUCUGCCUAUUAGUGGGGGACAACAUCUCGAAAGGGAUGCUAAUACCGCAUACGUCCUACGGGAGAGAGCAGGGGAUCACUUGUGACCUUGCGCUAAUAGAUGAGCCUAAGUCGGAUUAGCUAGUUGGUGGGGUAAAGGCCUACCAAGGCGACGAUCUGUAGCGGGUCUGAGAGGAUGAUCCGCCACACUGGGACUGAGACACGGCCCAGACUCCUACGGGAGGCAGCAGUGGGGAAUAUUGGACAAUGGGUGGAACCCUGAUCCAGCCAUGCCGCGUGUGUGAAGAAGGCCUUAUGGUUGUAAAGCACUUUAAGCGAGGAGGAGGCUCUUUUGGUUAAUACCCAAGAUGAGUGGACGUUACUCGCAGAAUAAGCACCGGCUAACUCUGUGCCAGCCGCCGCAGUAA
rnacentral:rRNA from 1 species